rnacentral:rRNA from 1 species
GACGAACGCUGGCGGCGUGCUUAACACAUGCAAGUCGAACGGAAAGGCCCUGCUUUUGUGGGGUGCUCGAGUGGCGAACGGGUGAGUAACACGUGAGUAACCUGCCCUUGACUUUGGGAUAACUUCAGGAAACUGGGGCUAAUACCGGAUAGGAGCUCCUGCUGCAUGGUGGGGGUUGGAAAGUUUCGGCGGUUGGGGAUGGACUCGCGGCUUGUCAGCCUGUUGGUGGGGUAGUGGCUUACCAAGGCUUUGACGGGUAGCCGGCCUGAGAGGGUGACCGGCCACAUUGGGACUGAGAUACGGCCCAGACGCCUACGGGAGGCAGCAGUGGGGAAUAUUGCACAAUGGGCGGAAGCCUGAUGCAGCAACGCCGCGUGCGGGAUGACGGCCUUCGGGUUGUAAACCGCUUUCGCCUGUGACGAAGCGUGAGUGACGGUAAUGGGUAAAGAAGCACCGGCUAACUACGUG